rnacentral:rRNA from 1 species
CUGCCCAUCAGAGGGGGAUAACAUUCGGAAACGGAUGCUAAAACCGCAUAGGUCUUCGAACCGCAUGGUUUGAAGAGGAAAAGAGGCGCAAGCUUCUGCUGAUGGAUGGACCCGCGGUGCAUUAGCUAGUUGGUGAGGUAACGGCUCACCAAGGCCGUGAUGCAUAGCCGACCUGAGAGGGUGAUCGGCCACAUUGGGACUGAGACACGGCCCAAACUCCUACGGGAGGCAGCAGUAGGGAAUCUUCCGCAAUGGACGCAAGUCUGACGGAGCAACGCCGCGUGAGUGAAGAAGGUUUUCGGAUCGUAAAACUCUGUUGUUAGAGAAGAACAAGUGCUAGAGUAACUGUUAGCGCCUUGACGGUAUCUAACCAGAAAGCCACGGCUAACUACGUGCCAGCAGCCGCGGUAAUACGUAGGUGGCAAGCGUUGUCCGGAUUUAUUGGGCGUAAAGCGAGCGCAGGCGGUUCCUUAAGUCUGAUGUGAAAGCCCCCGGCUCAACCGGGGAGGGUCAUUGGAAACUGGGGAACUUGAGUGCAGAAGAGGAGAGUGGAAUUCCAUGUGUAGCGGUGAAAUGCGUAGAUAUAUGGAGGAACACCAGUGGCGAAGGCGACUCUCUGGUCUGUAACUGACGCUGAGGCUCGAAAGCGUGGGUAGCAAACAGGAUUAGAUACCCUGGUAGUCCACGCCGUAAACGAUGAGUGCUAAGUGUUGGAGGGUUUCCGCCCUUCAGUGCUGCAGUUAACGCAUUAAGCACUCCGCCUGGGGAGUACGACCGCAAGGUUAAACUCAAAGGAAUGACGG